rnacentral:rRNA from 1 species
AUUCCAGCUCCAAUAGCGUAUAUUAAAGUUGUUGCAGUUAAAACGCUCGUAGUCGGAUUUCGGGGCGAUCCCGCCGGUCUGCCGUUGGGUAUGCACUGGUGGGCGCGUCCUUCCUUCCGGAGACCGUUCCUACUCUUAGCUGAGCGGGGACGGGAGACGGAUCGUUUACUUUGAAAAAAUCAGAGUGUUUCAAGCAGGCAUUUGCUCUUGCAUGGAUUAGCAUGGGAUAAUGAAAUAGGACUUUGGUGCUAUUUUGUUGGUUUACGGACCGAUGUAAUGAUUAAUAGGAACAGUUGGGGACAUUUAUAUUCCAUGGCUAGAGGUGAAAUUCUUGGAUUCAUGGAAGAUAAGCUAUUGCGAAAGCAUUUGUCAAAGAUGUUUUCAUUG